GAGCAAACAGGAUUAGAUACCUGGUAGUCCACGCUGUAAACGAUGUCGAUUUGGAGUUUGGGGGCAUGACCCUUGGGCUCCGGAGCUAACGCGUUAAAUCGACCGCUGGGGAGUACGGCCGCAAGGUUAAAACUCAAAUGAAUUGACGGGGGCCCGCACAAGCGGUGGAGCAUGUGGUUUAAUUCGAUGCAACGCGAAGAACCUUACCUGGUCUUGACAUCCAUAGAAUCUUUCAGAGAUGAGAGAGUGCCUUCGGGAGCUAUGAGACAGGUGCUGCAUGGCUGUCGUCAGCUCGUGUUGUGAAAUGUUGGGUUAAGUCCCGCAACGAGCGCAACCCCUAUCCUUUGUUGCCAGCACGUAAUGGUGGGAACUCAAAGGAGACUGCCGUUGAUAAAGCGGAGGAAGGUGGGGACGACGUCAAGUCAUCAUGGCCCUUACGACCAGGGCUACACACGUGCUACAAUGGCGUAUACAAAGGGAUGCGAAGGUGCGAACUGGAGCGGACCUCACAAAGUACGUCUAAGUCCGGAUUGGAGUCUGCAACUCGACUCCAUGAAGUCGGAAUCGCUAGUAAUCGUGAAUCAGAAUGUCACGGUGAAUACGUUCCCGGGCCUUGUACACACCGUCCGUCACACCAUGGGAGUGGGUUGCACCAGAAGUAGAUAGCUUAACCUUCGGGAGGGCGUUUACCACGGUGUGGUUCAUGACUGGGGUGAAGUCGUAACAAGGUAACCA
rnacentral:rRNA from 1 species